AAUGAACGCUGGCGGCGCGCCUAAUACAUGCAAGUCGAGCGAGAAGACAUAGCAAUACGUUUGUAAAGCGGCGAACGGGUGAGGAAUACAUGGGUAACCUACCCUCGAGUGGGGAAUAACUAGCCGAAAGGUUAGCUAAUACCGCGUACGCUUCUUGGACUUCGGUUCAGGGAGGAAAGCGAUGCCGAGGGUAUCGCGCUCUUGGAUGGGCUCAUGUCCUAUCAGCUGUUGGUGAGGUAACGGCUCACCAAGGCUUCGACGGGUAGCUGGUCUGAGAGGACGAUCAGCCACACUGGCACUGCGACACGGGCCAGACUCCUACGGGAGGCAGCAGUAAGGAAUAUUGCGCAAUGGGCGAAAGCCUGACGCAGCGACGCCGCGGUGGGGGAUGAAGGUCUUCGGAUUGUAAACCCCUUUCGGGAGGGAAGAUGGAAUGGGGU
rnacentral:rRNA from 1 species